ACGCCUAUGUGUGAAGGAGUCCAGAAUAAAACAAUAUCUUUUGUUAGGGAUAAGCAUUGAUAUUUGUCUCUAAUAUUGUAAACGAUGAAAUUAGUUGUAACAUUACAUUUAGGAUAUUGUAAAGCUUUUAAAACACUCAUGCUAUCUGUUAUAACAAUCCAAUUAUUAUAUGACUGUUCUCCAAUAUAUUCUAGAGCAGCAUAUAUGGCAGCACAUUCUGCUGUGUAUAUACUAGCCAAGGUAUUUAACCUAUGACCAAACCCACUCCGCAGUUGUAUGUCAUAAACUGCCAUAGAGACAGCAGUAUUACUUUUAGAUCCAUCAGUAUAAAGUUGGUUAUAAUUUUGCCACUCUGACAGCAUACUAUAUACCUCUUCCUUAUAUUUUAAUGAUUCAUUAAUAAUUAUUUUAAUAGGUGUAUAUUUUGAAUUAUAAGAAUUUAAAUAACAUGACCAAAGAAUACUAGAAAAUAGAUUAUGAUCACAAGAAAAAUGUAACAAAUCAGAGAUGCCUUCUACUUGAUAGUAGGAAUUAUUGUCAGUUCGGUUAACCAAACUGACAAUAAUUUAAUAACUAUAUUAAUAUAGUCCUUUAUCUUUAAUAGGAGUGGAUGAUUAUUAAUAGAAGUUAAUUUGAGAAAGAAUUUUGUUUGUAGAUAUUUGAUCUAAGAGCUAGUGGGGGAAUAUUACAUUCUACUUGUAAUGAUAUAAUAGGAGUAGACCUAAAAGCGCCUGUUAUGAUCCUUAAGCAUUUAUUUUGUAUUUUUUCUAAUUUAUUCACUAAUGUAAUUACUCCGCCAUAACAAAAGAAGGCAUACUCAAAAUGGCUACGGACUAAUGACUUAUAUAGUGUUAGCAAGAUGCGUGGGUCUGCACCCCAAUAUGUACCAGCUAAUGAUUUCAGAAUAUUGCAGGCCUUUAAUGCUCGAUUUUCUAAUAUUUCAACAUAUUUGUGCCAUCUAAAAUUACUUAAAAACGUAACUCCUAAAAACUUUAUUGAAUUAUCUAUUGAAAUUUCCUGAGUACCAUACUAUAUUUUUGCAUCUCUUAUUCUUAUAGAAUGCUUUGAAAAUAUUACUACUUUGCUUUUGUCAAUACUUACCUCAAGACUAUUGAAAAUAAAGCUCCAAUUUUUUGAGUGCUACAUUAAGAUCUAACACAACAUUUGAUAAAUUUAGUCCUGAACUAUACACUACUAGAUCAUCAGCAAAUUGGAGGGGCAUUUAACGAUAGAAGAAUGGAUGAUAAUUGUUCUAAACCAACAUUAUUAAAUGCUCCUACAACAUCCAAAAAAACACCAGCCAAUAUCUUAUUGUCAAUCUGGGCACUAUGGAUGUCAAGACAUAAAUGCCGUAGACUCUCACAAGCAGAACGACCACAUCGAAAUCCAAAUUGAUUAUUAGAUUACUGUGUGGAGGAAUGUUGGAUGGAAUUGAAGAAGAUUCAGUUUCCGACACUACCAUGGAAAAUUUGCAAGUGAUAGCUGCCCAAAGAGUCCCGAUGAACUUGCCAUUCACAGCACAGGAAUAAUGAAGAUGAUACUAUUGUUAGAUCUAGUCCAUUUUUGUCUCCAAGAAUUAGUACCCACUGUAGUUGGUUGAUCAUUAUUUAAGAGCAUUAAGUGAUUAUCGUCCAUUACAUCCAUGAUGUCUCUACCUCUAGAAUUGGUUCUAUUACAACCCCAAAUGGUAUGGUGAGCAUUAAAAUCACCAGCAAUUAUUAGUGGUUUUGGAAAACUAUGCAACAGUCUAUUAAAUUUAGAUUUGUCAAAGUUAGGUACACUGUUGCUAGGACUAUAAAAGCUAACAAUUGAGAUGUCUUUUUGUUUGUAUUUAAUUUUGAUUGCUACAUUUUGCAAGGAGUUAUCAGAAAAUGUUUCUAACUUUUGAAAAUAAAUGCCAUUUCUAACAAAAAUUGCUACACCAUUGUGAUCAUUACCACAAUCAUUUCUUAGUAUUGUAUAACCUCUGAUAGAAAACUGUAUAUUUGGUUUAAGCCAAGUUUCUGAUAUAAGUGCUAUGUGUAUGUCCUGCUCAUAAAGUAGGUUUUGAAGCUCAAGUCUGUUACUCAACAGACUGAGCAUUCCACUGUACUAUGUUAAGUUUGUGACAGUUGAAUGUGACAUUUUAUUUUUAAUUUGUAUGGUAUCUUUAAUAGCUGAACUAAUUGCGUGUGAGCUAAUGCUUUGAUUCUGUGUUUUAUUUAGAGUAAUGACUUUUAUUAUUGAUUCUGUGAUUAGGUUCAUUGCUGCUGGAUUGGAUAAAAUUAAAUUAAUGAUGUCUUGUGUGUUCUCUGUCUUAUUGAGUGAUGGAAAGUUUGUUGGAUGUUUAAAUAAAUCUGAUAAUGGUGUUUUA